rnacentral:rRNA from 1 species
UACAGGGGGGGCAAGCGUUGUUCGGAAUUACUGGGCGUAAAGGGCUUGUAGGUGGCCAACUAAGUCCGACGUGAAAUCCCUAGGCUUAACCUAGGAACUGCGUCGGAUACUGGAUGGCUUGAAUCCGGGAGAGGGAUGCGGAAUUCCAGGUGUAGCGGUGAAAUGCGUAGAUAUCUGGAGGAACACCGGUGGCGGAGGCGGCAUCCUGGACCGGUAUUGACACUGAAAAGCGAAAGCCAGGGGAGCAAACGGG